rnacentral:snoRNA from 1 species
ACGACCUUACUUGAACAGGAUCUGUUCUAUAGGCUCGUACCGCUGCAUCCUUUAUCAAUAAGGAGGCAAGCACUUCAGUCUGGUUGAUUGCAUUCUGACCUCUGGGCCAGAGUGUGGUUAACGGCUUGGAUUCACCUGUCUCAGAGGUUGUCUGACAGACU